rnacentral:tRNA from 1 species
GCCCGGGUGGCGGAAUGGUUUACGCAGCGGACUUAAAAUCCGUGCCUUUAAAAAGGUUGUGGGUUCGAGUCCCACCCCGGGCA